CGCCAUUGUCACAACGAGGCCGCGGUAUUAUUUCUCUUUGUUUUCCCUUCUUCUCUUCUUCGCUCAGCACAAAUCCUUUUCCUUUAUACCUUGUCUUGAUCUGGGUGAUCUAUAUUUUCCUUUUAUCUUCUUCAUUGGAGCAUGUCGGGCUCUGUUUUGUUAGAGAACAAGUCAAAUUGAAAUUAGGAAUUAUAAUAAAUUUACGAAGUUUAGUAGAAUUUAAUGUAUGAAGUUUAAUAAUUAGAGUUUUAAGAGGGCUAGUUUUUCUUUUUUAGUGGUCUAUGCAUAUGUAGUUGGUUGGCCAUUACAUGGAAUGUGUUAUGAAGAGCUCAGGAGAAGUGUUUGAGGGUGAAAAAAAAAAAUAGUUG
rnacentral:misc_RNA from 1 species